rfam:Salmo salar isolate Sally breed double haploid chromosome ssa13, whole genome shotgun sequence.
AAUGCACCGAUUUGUAAGUCGCUCUGGAUAAGAGUGUCUGCUAAAUGACUCUUC